AUCUACUACUACCAAAUAAUAACUAACAGAUUUCUGCAGGGAAUUUAUCCAGACAUCUGAUUGGUUGUAAAUGUUUUCUCCGUUGAGAAAGGUGUUGGGGGUUGUCAUAACCUACCACAUACUGCAUUAUAUUUAUCUUUUCAGGAUAGCAGACGUAACCUUGAAGAGCUCCAUGUGUCUGAUUCCAAGAAUAAUACAUGACAUUCCUCACACUGAAAGAUGGGACACAGCAGUGCUUCACGUUCCUGUCUUCACUGUUCCAUCACACCUGAUUCAGCUCAUGAUGCGCUCGAUAAUUACCGAAGUUUUGUCGUAUGUGUCAACGGGUAAAAUGAUUGACUCUGUAGCUUUCCCGGAAUAGAAACAGGUAUGAAUACUGCUACAAUACAUGUACAAUGUAUACAAUAAUAUUCUAAGUAUGCUUUAUUUAUUUAUUUAUUUUAUUUUACCUGCAACCACGGUCAUCUGAUGGAUAGAGUGAUAGAUGGUCCAAAUCAACCGAUUUCAGACUCCAUAUUCCCCACCCGUGUGAGACCUGUUAUAUAAUAAAUAAGUGUAUGAGCAGAUUUUAAAAGGAAUACUGGCAUGUUCCCUUGGCAUUGCUUGAGUAGCAGCACAUGGACGGGGAUUUGGGUUUGGGACAAGUUCACACCGCGGCAGGGGAACCGUAGUGAUCCGACUGGGUCGGUAAUGAUAUCAGAUGCCUCUCCUCAAAACAACAGGUGUCUUGGCAGAACUGUCCUUCACUUCCACGCUGGGCUCAUGACAUCAGCAGCCAGCACUGGUUAAUUAUAGACCAGCAGAGCUCGACCUCUACAAUACACACUGCAGCUCCUCUAGAAUCGCUUCUUGUGAAGAACCAAAAGCGGCCGAUCAUCAAGAUCAACAUACCGGAAUCAGACUGUAGUGCUCGGGCUCUCAUCACGGUGCCCACUGAGCGGUGAGGGACCUGGGCAGAGAGCGGGAGUGCCAACCGUACAGCUGCGGUGAGGGAUGCUCUGUGUUCUACUGCCCUCCGAUGGUGGCUUUGACAGACUCUUAGACGAAAUGCACAGAGAGAAAGUGUGUGUGUGUGUGUGUGUGUGUGUGUGUGUGUGUGUGUGGUGGGGGGGGGGGGGGGGGGGUGAAUGAGUGAAUGAAC